GAACUUUCUCAGAAGGGCUAAUGCCUAAUCUUCCAAAGACCAGCAAGAACAAGCUUAUGUUAGUAGGUUGUCCCUCAGGAUUCUGCAUGUCUGGAUUUGCAAUCGUGGAAACUGCCAAAGGUCUAGGGACCUGUGUGGCAGAACCCGGCCUCUACCACUACUGCCCAAGGAUUCUGACCCCAAAGGCCUUGCAGUAGAUGCCCUACAAUUUGGGGACACCUGGGCAAUCCCAGAGGACUCAGCCUGCCGCCCAGAAGGAAAACUCUGCCGUUUGGAACUGCGGAAAGGAUUCAGAGGAGCAGAAAUCUGCAUGCCCAGCUGAGGACACACCCACACAGAGCUGACUCCUGGACACAAAGCCAGAGCCAGACACUCACCCUCACCUACACUGUCAACUCAGCCACCCAGACAGCUCUCCAUGGGGUCUUCAGGUCAGUCCUGCCAUGUCCCUGGUCCCUAACACUAACCCUUGGAUGGGUU